rnacentral:rRNA from 1 species
GAAAGUAAUAAAGGGCGUAUGGGGGAUGCCUAGGCUCUUGGAGGCGAAGAAAGACGUGGUAAGCUGCGAUAAGCCUCGGGGAUUUGCAAACGAGAAUUGAUCCGAGGAUUUCUGAAUGGGACAACCCGGCAGGCAGAAGGCCUGUCACACGAAAGUGGGCCAACCCUCUGAACUGAAACAUCUUAGUAGGAGGAGGAAAAGAAAGAAACAUCGAUUUCCUAAGUAGCGGCGAGCGAACGGGAAACAGCCUAAACCACAAUUGUUACGGCAACUGUGGGGUUGUAGGACUGCAAUAUUCAAAUGACUGUGAACUGGAAUGUUCUGGAAAGUUCAUCCAUAGAGAGUGAAAGACUCGUACAGGCAAGCACGUCAGGCGAUAGCAGUAUCCUGAGUAGGGCGGGACACGAGGAAUCCUGUCUGAAUCCGCCGGGACCACCCGGUAAGGCUAAAUACUCCCAAGAGACCGAUAGUGAACCAGUACCGUGAGGGAAAGGUGAAAAGAACCCCGAACAGGGGAGUGAAAUAGAACCUGAAACCAUACGCUUACAACCUGUCGGAGCAGCUUCGUGCUGUGACGGCGUGCCUAUUGAAUAAUGAGCCUACGAGUUACUAAUCACUGGCGAGGUUAAGUGCUAGGAAGCACGGAGCCGAAGCGAAAGCGAGUCUGAACAGGGCGUUUAGUCAGUGGUUGUAGACGCGAAACCUUGCGAUCUACCCUUGAGCAGGUUGAAGGUUGGGUAAAACCAACUGGAGGACCGAACGAAUAAGCGUUGAAAAGCUUCUCGAUGACUUGAGGGUAGGGGUGAAAGGCUAAUCAAGCUGGGAAAUAGCUCGUACUCCCCGAAAUGCCUUUUGGGGCAGCGUUGUAAUAAAGAGUCUACUGGAGGUAGAGCUACUGAUUGGAUGCGGGGGCUUCACCGCCUACCAAAUCCUGACAAACUCCGAAUGCCAGUAGUAUGAUUUACAGCAGUGAGCGACCGGGUGCUAAUGUCCGGUUACGAGAGUGGAACAACACAGACCAGCAACUAAGGUCCCCAAGAAUAUGCUAAGUUGAACUAACGAUGUUUUGUUGCAGAGACAGCUAGGAUGUUAGCUUGGAAGCAGCUAUUCAUUCAAAGAGUGCGUAACAGCUCACUAGUCGAGCGACAGAGCGUGGAUAAUAAACGGGCAUCAAGCAUAUCACCGAAGUUCUGGGCGCGAGAGCGCGGUAGGGGAGCAUUCCAUUCAGCGUCGAAGCAGUUUCGUGAGGAAUUGUGGAGCGUAUGGAAAAGCAAAUGUAGGCAUGAGUAACGAUAAUGCGGGAGAGUAACCCGCACACCGCAAGACCAAGGUUUCCUGAUCAACGCUAAUCGGAUCAGGGUUAGUCGGGUCCUAAGGGUAAGCCGAACGGCGAUCUCGAUGGAUAAUCGGUUAAUAUUCCGAUACUAACAUAUACCUCGAUGGAGAGACGAAGGAACGUAAGUGACGCCGCCUGACGGAAUAGGUGGUUAAAGGGUGUAGGUAUAGGGACAGAUUAAGAGUUAGUCCUUGCUGAAACCCGACAGUACGGAGCGGCUACGGCCAAUCUGAUAGUUCACCCAAGUCGACUUCCGAGAAAAUCUUCUAAGUUAUAGUAUAUGUUACCCGUACCGUAAACCGACACAGGUGGUCGAGGAGAGUAUCCUAAGGUGCUCGAGUGAAUCACGGUUAAGGAACUAGGCAAAUUAACCCCGUAACUUCGGGAAAAGGGGUCCCUAUGAAAGUAGGGCGCAGCGAAGAGGUCCAGGCGACUGUUUAUCAAAAACACAGGGCUCUGCAAAUUCGAAAGAAGACGUAUAGGGCCUGACACCUGCCCGGUGCUGGAAGGUUAAGAGGGGAUGUCAUCGCAAGAGAAGCAUUGAAUCGAAGCCCCAGUAAACGGCGGCCGUAACUAUAACGGUCCUAAGGUAGCGAAAUUCCUUGUCGGGUAAGUUCCGACCUGCACGAAUGGUGUAACGAUCUGGACACUGUCUCAACCGUGAGCUCGGUGAAAUUGUAGUCCCGGUGAUGAUGCCGGGUACCCGCAACGGGACGAAAAGACCCCGUGAACCUUUACUAUAGCUUAACGCUGAAUUUGGGUACACAAUGUGUAGGAUAGGCCGGAGGCUUUGAAGCGGGCACGCCAGUGUUCGUGGAGCCGACGUUGAAAUACGGCCCUUUGUGUAUUUGAGUUCUAACCCUGCGAAGGGGACACCGUUUGGUGGGUAGUUUGACUGGGGUGGUCGCCUCCAAAAGCGUAACGGAGGCUUCCC